GGUUAAGCGACCAAGCGUACACGGUGGAUGCCCCGGCAGUCAGAGGCGAUGAAGGGCGUGCUAAUCUGCGAUAAGCGCCGGUAAGGUGAUAUGAACCGUUAUAACCGGCGAUACCCGAAUGAAACCCAGUGUGACCUGGUCACACUAUCACACCGAAUCCAUAGGUUAAUGAGGCAACCCUGGGGAACUGAAACAUCUAAGUACCCCGGGAGGAAAAGAAAUCAACCGAGAUUCCCCAGCGGCGUGAGCGAACGGGAGGAGCCCAGAGCCUGAAUCAGCAUGUGUUAGUGGAAGGCCCGGAAAGGCGCGAUACAGGGUGACAGCCCGCACACAAAAGCGCAUGUGCUGUGAGUCGAUGAGUAGGGCGGGACACGUGGUAUCCUGUCUGAAUAUGGGGACCAUCCUCCGUUGCCAAAUACUCCUGACUGACCGAUAGUGAACCAGUACCGUGAGGAAAGGCGAAAAGAACCCCGCGAGGGGGAGUGAAAAGAACCCGAAACCGUGUACGCAAUAAGCAGUGGGAGCACCUUUCGGGUGACUGGUACCUUUGGUAUAAUGGGUCAGCGACUUAUAUUCUGUAGCAAGGUUAAAUCUGAAUAGGGAGCCGGAGGGAAACCCGAGUCUUACUCAGUUAAGUUGCAGGGUAUAGACCCGAAACCCGGUGAUUCAGCCAUGGGCAGGUUGAAGGUUGGGUAACACUAACUGAUGACCGAACCGACUCAAUGCUAAAAAUUAGCGGAUGACCUGUGGCUGGGGUGUGAAAAGGUUAAUCAAACCGGGAGAUAGCUGGUUCUCCCGAAAGCUAUUUAGGUAGCGCCCGUGAACUCAUCUCCGGGGUAGAGCACCGUUUCGGCUAGGGGCCAUCCCGGCUACCAACCCGAUGCAAACUGCGAAUACCGGAGAAUGUUAUCACGGAGACACACGGCGUAGUGCUAACGUCCGUCGUGAAGAGGGAAAACAACCCAGACCGCCAGCUAAGGUCCCAAAGUCAUGGUUAAGUGGAAACGAUGUGGGAAGGCCCAGACAGCCGAUGUUGGCUUAGAAGCAGCCAUCAUUUAAAGAAAGCGUAAUAAAGCUCACUGGUCGGCCUGCGCGGAAGAUGUAACGGGCUAAAACCAUGCACCGAAGGUAAGCAGCGACACUGUGUGUUGUUGGGUAGGGGAAGUUCUGUAAGCCUGUGAAGGUGGCCUGUGGUUGCUGGAGGUAUCAGAAGUGCGAAUGCUGACAUAAGUAACGAUAUGGGUGAAAAGCCCGCUCGCCGGAAGACCGCGGUUCCUGUCCAACGUUAAUCGUAAGUAGGGUGAGUCGACCCCAAGGCGAGCGCUUCAGGCGUAGUCGAUGGAAACGGGUUAAUAUUCCCGCACGGUGUUACUUCGCGAAGACGAGAAGGCUAUGUUGGCCGGGCGACGGUUGUCCCGGUUUAAGCUGCGUGUAGGUAACCCGUGCAAACUGGUUCACUUUUAACACUGAGGCGUGACGACGAGGCACUACGAAGUGCUGAAGCAACAAAAUGCCCCUGCUUCCGUGAAAGCCUCUACAUCAGGUAACAUCAAAUCGUACCCAAACCGACAGGUGGUCAGGUAGAGAAUACCAAGGCGCUGAGAGAACUCGCGAAGGAACUAGCAAAAUGGUGCCGUAACUUCGGGAGAAGGGCACGCUGACACGUAGGUGAAGUGAUUUACUCACGAGCUGAAGUCAUCGAAGAUACCAGCUGGCUGCAACUGUUUAUUAAACACAGCACUGCAAACACGAAAGUGGACGUGCAUACGGUGUGACGCCCGCCUCGGUGCCGGAAGCUGAAAUUGAUGGGGUCAGCGCAAGCGAAGCUCCUGAUCGAAGCCCCGGUAAAACGGUACGUAACUAUAACGGUCCUAAGGUGUGCGAAAUCUUGUCGGGUAAGUUCCGACCCGCACGAAUGGCGCAAUGAUGGCCGCCGUUCCACCCGGAGACUCAAAGUGAAAUUCGAACCUCUCGCUGUAGCGAUGCAGUGUACCCGCGGCAAGACGGAAAGACCUCGCGUGAACCUUUUACUUAUAGCUUGACACUGAACAUUGAGCCUUACGUGGAUAGGUGCGUUUUGAAGUGUACGCCAGUCCGCAUGGAGCCGACCUGAAAUACCCUUUAAUGUUUGAUGUUCUAACGUGACCCGUACCGGGUUGCGAUUGAAGUGUCUGGUGGUGUUUGACUGGGGCGGUCCCCUAAAGAGUAACGGUGGAGGAGCACGAAGGUUGGCUAACCCGUCGGACAUCAGGAGGUUAGCAAUGGCAUAAGCCAGCUUGACUGCGAGCGUGACGGCGCGAGCAGGUGCGAAAGCAGGUCAUAGUGAUCCGGUGGUUCUGAAAUGGAAGGGGCCAUCGCCUCAACGGAUAAAAGGUACUCCGGGGAUAACAGGGCCGAUACCGCCCAAGAGUUCAUAUCAUCGACGGCGGCGUUUGGCACCUCGAUGUCGGCUCAUCACAUCCCUGGGGCUGAAGUGAACCUUAAGGGUAUGGCUGUUCGCCAUUUAAAGUGGUACGCGAGCUGGCUUAGAACAAACGUCGUGAGACAGUUCGGUCCCUAUUCGCCGUGGGCGCUGCUGAGAACUGAGGGGCUGCUCCUAGUACGAGAGAGGACCGAGUGGACGCAUCACUGGUGUUCGGGUUGUCAUGCCAAUGGCACCGCCCGGUAAAGCAAAUGCGCGGAAGAGAUAAGUGCUGAAAGCAUCUAAGCACGAAACUUGCCCCACGAAGAUGAGUUCCCUGGAACUUGAGUCUCCCUGAAGGAACGUUGAAGACGACGACACUGAUGAUAGGCCGGGUGUGUAGAAAGCGCAGCGAUGCGUUGAAACUAACCGGUACUAAUGAACCGUGAGGAAGCAG
rnacentral:rRNA from 1 species